AUGCACGCUGGCGGCGUGCCUCAUCCCUGCAAGUCGAGCGAACAGACGAGGAGCUUGCUCCUCUGACGUUAGCGGCGGACGGGUGAGUAACACGUGGAUAACCUACCUAUAAGCCUGGGAUAACUUCGGGAAACCGGAGCUAAUACCGGAUAAUAUAUUGAACCGCAUGGUUCAAUAGUGAAAGACGGCUUUGCUGUCACUUAUAGAUGGAUCCGCGCCGCAUUAGCUAGUUGGUAAGGUAACGGCUUACCAAGGCAACGAUGCGUAGCCGACCUGAGAGGGUGAUCGGCCACACUGGAACUGAGACACGGUCCAGACUCCUACGGGAGGCAGCAGUAGGGAAUCUUCCGCAAUGGGCGAAAGCCUGACGGAGCAACGCCGCGUGAGUGAUGAAGGUCUUCGGAUCGUAAAACUCUGUUAUUAGGGAAGAACAAAUGUGUAAGUAACUAUGCACGUCUUGACGGUACCUAAUCAGAAAGCCACGGCUAACUACGUG
rnacentral:rRNA from 1 species